rnacentral:rRNA from 1 species
CCUACGGGCGGCAGCAGUGGGGAAUAUUGGACAAUGGGCGAAAGCCUGAUCCAGUCAUGCCGCGUGUGUGAAGAAGGCCUUCGGGUUGUAAAGCACUUUCAGUGGGGAAGAAAGCCUUGGGGCUAAUACCCUCGAGGAAGGACAUCACCCACAGAAGAAGCACCGGCUAACUCCGUGCCAGCAGCCGCGGUAAUACGGAGGGUGCGAGCGUUAAUCGGAAUUACUGGGCGUAAAGCGCGCGUAGGCGGUCUGAUAAGCCGGUUGUGAAAGCCCCGGGCUCAACCUGGGAACGGCAUCCGGAACUGUCAGGCUAGAGUGCAGGAGAGGAAGGUAGAAUUCCCGGUGUAGCGGUGAAAUGCGUAGAGAUCGGGAGGAAUACCAGUGGCGAAGGCGGCCUUCUGGACUGACACUGACGCUGAGGUGCGAAAGCGUGGGUAGCAAACAGGAUUAGAUACCCUAGUAGUC